UACGAAGGGUGCAAACGUUGCUCGGAAUCAUUGGGCGUAAAGCGCACGUAGGCGGCUUCGCAAGUCGGAUGCGAAAUCCCUCGGCUCAACCGAGGACGUGCAUCCGAAACUGCGGGGCUUGAGUACAGAAGAGGAUCGCGGAAUUCCCGGUGUAGAGGUGAAAUUCGUAGAUAUCGGGAGGAACACCAGUGGCGAAGGCGGCGAUCUGGGCUGAUACUGACGCUGAGGUGCGAACGCGUGGGGAGCAAACAGG
rnacentral:rRNA from 1 species